UUAGUAGAAGCCAAAUUAGAGGCAAACCACUGUUAAUGGUUAAAUUGAAAUAAAUUUCCUUCUAAG
rnacentral:tRNA from 1 species